GAUGAACGCUGGCGGCGUGCUUAACACAUGCAAGUCGAACGAAGCGAUUUAGCGGAAGUUUUCGGAUGGAAGCUAGAUUGACUGAGUGGCGGACGGGUGAGUAACGCGUGGGUAACCUGCCUCACACUGGGGGACAACAGUUAGAAAUGACUGCUAAUACCGCAUAAGCGCACAGGACCGCAUGGUCCGGUGUGAAAAACUCCGGUGGUGUGAGAUGGACCCGCGUUUGAUUAGCUAGUUGGUGGGGUAACGGCCUACCAAGGCGACGAUCAAUAGCCGACCUGAGAGGGUGACCGGCCACAUUGGGACUGAGACACGGCCCAAACUCCUACGGGAGGCAGCAGUGGGGAAUAUUGCACAAUGGGGGAAACCCUGAUGCAGCGACGCCGCGUGAGUGAAGAAGUAUUUCGGUAUGUAAAGCUCUAUCAGCAGGGAAGAAAAUGACGGUACCUGACUAAGAAGCCCCGGCUAACUACGUGCCAGCAGCCGCGGUAAUACGUAGGGGGCAAGCGUUAUCCGGAUUUACUGGGUGUAAAGGGAGCGUAGACGGUAAAGCAAGUCUGAAGUGAAAGCCCGGGGCUCAACCCCGGGACUGCUUUGGAAACUGUUUAACUAGAGUGCUGGAGAGGUAAGCGGAAUUCCUAGUGUAGCGGUGAAAUGCGUAGAUAUUAGGAGGAACACCAGUGGCGAAGGCGGCUUACUGGACAGUAACUGACGUUGAGGCUCGAAAGCGUGGGGAGCAAACAGGAUUAGAUACCCUGGUAGUCCACGCCGUAAACGA
rnacentral:rRNA from 1 species